rnacentral:rRNA from 1 species
GAACGGGUGAGUAACACGUGGGCAACCUGCCCAAAAGAGGGGGAUAACACUUGGAAACAGGUGCUAAUACCGCAUAACCAUAGUUACCGCAUGGUAACUAUGUAAAAGGUGGCUAUGCUACCGCUUUUGGAUGGGCCCGCGGCGCAUUAGCUAGUUGGUGGGGUAAAGGCUUACCAAGGCAAUGAUGCGUAGCCGAACUGAGAGGUUGAUCGGCCACAUUGGGACUGAGACACGGCCCAAACUCCUACGGGAGGCAGCAGUAGGGAAUCUUCCACAAUGGGCGAAAGCCUGAUGGAGCAACGCCGCGUGGGUGAAGAAGGUCUUCGGAUCGUAAAACCCUGUUGUUAGAGAAGAAAGUGCGUGAGAGUAACUGUUCACGUAUCGACGGUAUCUAACCAGAAAGCCACGGCUAACUACGUGCCAGCAGCCGCGGUAAUACGUAGGUGGCAAGCGUUAUCCGGAUUUAUUGGGCGUAAAGGGAACGCAGGCGGUCUUUUAAGUCUGAUGUGAAAGCCUUCGGCUUAACCGGAGUAGUGCAUUGGAAACUGGGAGACUUGAGUGCAGAAGAGGAGAGUGGAACUCCAUGUGUAGCGGUGAAAUGCGUAGAUAUAUGGAAGAACACCAGUG